AACGAACGCUUGCGGCGCGUCUUAAGCAUGCAAGUCGAACGGCAAGAUUGGUGCUUGCACCGAUCCUAGAGUGGCGGACUGGUGAGUAACGCGUGGGUGACGUACCCUAAGGAUGGGGAUAGCUGGUAGAAAUAUCAGAUAAUACCGAAUAUCCUUAUUGUUGUUAGAGGACAGUAGGGAAAGGAGCUUUGGCUUCGCCUAAGGAUCGGCCCGCGUACUAUUAGCUAGUUGGUGAGGUAACGGCUCACCAAGGCGACGAUAGUUAUCCGGCCUAAGAGGGUGAACGGACACAUUGGGACUGAGAUACGGCCCAGACUCCUACGGGAGGCAGCAGCUAAGAAUAUUCCGCAAUGGAGGAAACUCUGACGGAGCGACGCCGCGUGGAUGAUGAAGGCCGGAAGGUUGUAAAAUCCUUUUAAGCAAGAAGAAUAAACUUUACAGGGAAUGGUAGAGUGGUGACGGUAUUGCUUGAAUAAGCAACGGCUAAUUACGUGCCAGCAGCCGCGGUAACAC
rnacentral:rRNA from 1 species